rnacentral:rRNA from 1 species
GAUGAACGCUAGCUACAGGCUUAACACAUGCAAGUCGAGGGGUAGCAGGGAUUAGCAAUAAUCCGCUGACGACCGGCGCACGGGUGAGUAACACGUAUCCAAUCUGCCUAUUACUCGGGGAUAGCCUUUUGAAAGAAAGAUUAAUACCCGAUGGUAUAAUAAAACUGCAUGGUUUUAUUAUUAAAGAAUU